rnacentral:rRNA from 1 species
UACGUAGGGGGCAAGCGUUGUCCGGAUUUAUUGGGCGUAAAGAGCGUGUAGGCGGCCAGACAGGUCCGUUGUGAAACUCGAGGCUCAACCUCGAGAUGUCGAUGGAAACCGUCUGGCUAGAGUCCGGAAGAGGAGUGUGGAAUUCCUGGAUGUAGCGGUGAAAUGCGCAGAUAUCAGGAAGAACACCUAUGGCGAAGGCAGCACUCUGGGACGGUAC